AGAAGGGGCUCCUGCAGACCGCCUUUUGCCUGGUGGCUCUGGCAUGUUUGGGCUCCGGGGUUUUCCUGUACGGCCACUUGGAGCAGAAGGUGCGGAACGCCGAAGCCCUGGCCCAGAAGUACAAACAGCAGCAGGAAGCGCUAUCUGCCCAGCUCCAAGUUGUGUAUGAGCACAGAUCCAGGCUGGAGCGAUCCCUGCAGAAGGAGAGAGGGGAGCACAAGAAGACGAAGGAAGAUUUUUUAGUGUAUAAAUUAGAAGCUCAGGAA